UUUUAUACGGUGAAACUGCGAAUGGCUCAUUAAAACAGUUAUAGUUUAUUUGAUGGUCACUUUUACAUGGAUAACCAUGGUAAUUCUAUGGCUAAUACAUGCGCAAUCGCCUCCUUCUCUGGAGGGGCUGUGUUUAUUAGAUACAAAACCAACCCACUUUUGUGGAGCCUGGGUGAUUCAUAGUAACCGAACGGAUCGCAGUUGGCUUUGGCCCGCGAUAUAUCUUUCAAGUUUCUGACCUAUCAGCUUUCGACGGUAGGGUAUUGGCCUACCGUGGCAGUGACGGGUAACGGGGAAUUAGGGUUCGAUUCCGGAGAGGGAGCCUGAGAAACGGCUACCACAUCUAAGGAAGGCAGCAGGCGCGCAAAUUACCCAAUGAAAACAGCUUCGAGGUAGUGACGAGAAAUAACAAUACAGGGCAUUUUUUGUUCUGUAAUUGGAAUGAUGGGAAUGUAAAACCCUUUCAGAUUAACAAUUGGAGGGCAAGUCUGGUGCCAGCAGCCGCGGUAAUUCCAGCUCCAAUAGUGUAUAUUAGAGUUGUUGCAGUUAAAAAGCUCGUAGUUGGAUUUCUGUCGUGGUCAUCCGGUUCC
rnacentral:rRNA from 1 species